rnacentral:misc_RNA from 1 species
UACGGAGGAUCCGAGCGUAAUCCGGAAUUAUUGGGUUUAAAGGGUCCGUAGGCGGGAUAAUAAGUCAGUGGUGAAAGUUUGUGGCUCAACCAUAAAAUUGCCAUUGAUACUGUUAUUCUUGAGUUAUUGUGAAGUGGUUAGAAUGUGUAGUGUAGCGGUGAAAUGCAUAGAUAUUACACAGAAUACCAAUUGCGAAGGCGGAUCACUAACAAUUAACUGACGCUGAUGGACGAAAGCGUAGGUAGCGAACAGG